rnacentral:rRNA from 1 species
CUCCUCUACCGAUCGAUCUAGCCAAUGAACUAGUCGGACUGAACCCGGGCAGCACUUNUGGACCUUGAUUUCGUAAGGGGGAGGACCCUUAUCUGUUAGCUGAAGGGUAUGCCGAGACAAUGUUUCCAUUAUCUAACCUGCAGGAAGAUCAUU